rnacentral:rRNA from 1 species
AAAAGAUUAAGCCAUGCAAGUGUAAGUAUAAAUAGAGAAAAGACUAUGAGACUGCGAAUGGCUCAUUAAAUCAGCAAUAAUUUAUUCGGUGGAUGAAGUAAUUCUGAGAUGGAUAACCGUGGUAAAGCUAGAGCUAAUACAUGCAGAAGAGAGUUCACGGGAAGUGAAGGUAUAUAUUAGAUACAAAACCGAAAGAGAGAGGGGAGUGAUAAUAUUUGGAACAGAUCACGAGGGAGUGACGAGCCGAUCAAAUUUCUGCCCUAUCAACUUUGGACGGUAGUAUAGAGGACAACCGUGGUGAUAACGGGUAACGGAGAAUGAGGGUUUGAUUCCGGAGAAGGGGCAUGAGAAAUGGCCACUACAACCAAGGUAGGCAGCAGGCGCGUAAAUUACCCAAUCCUGACAGAGGGAGGUAGUGACAAUAAAUAACAAUGAAUUUAUGGAAAGUAAGUUGAAUUGGAAUGAGAACAAUAUAAAACCCUUAUCGAGGAACAAUUUCAGGGCAAGUUCUGGUGCCAGCAGCC